ACUUGAUGAUGAGGAUAUUUAUGCAGAAGGUCCCUAAAAUGCUCCCAAGUCUCGAAAAAUUGCUCAUCGUCUAUUUGGGAAAAACUAGUGAUGGCCUUCCUAAACU